GAUGAACGCUGGCGGCGUGCCUAAUACAUGCAAGUCGAGCGAACAGAUGAGGAGCUUGCUCCUCUGACGUUAGCGGCGGACGGGUGAGUAACACGUGGAUAACCUACCUAUAAUACUGGGAUAACUUCGGGAAACCGGAGCUAAUACCGGAUAAUAUAUUGAACCGCAUGGUUCAAUAGUUAAAGACGGUUUUGCUGUCACUUAUAGAUGGAUCCGCGCCGCAUUAGCUAGUUGGUAAGGUAACGGCUUACCAAGGCGACGAUGCGUAGCCGACCUGAGAGGGUGAUCGGCCACACUGGAACUGAGACACGGUCCAGACUCCUACGGGAGGCAGCAGUAGGGAAUCUUCCGCAAAGGGCGAAAGCCUGACGGAGCAACGCCGCGUGAGUGAUGAAGGUCUUCGGAUCGUAAAACUCUGUUAUUAGGGAAGAACAAAUGCGUAAGUAACUAUGCACGUCUUGACGGUACCUAAUCAGAAAGCAACGGCUAACUACGUG
rnacentral:rRNA from 1 species